CCUACGGUGGGCAGCAGUGAGGAAUAUUGGUCAAUGGGCGCGAGCCUGAACCAGCCAAGUCGCGUGAAGGAUGACUGCCCUACGGGUUGUAAACUUCUUUUAUAAGGGAAUAAAGUGAGGCACGUGUGCCUUUUUGUAUGUUCUUUAUGAAUAAGGAUCGGCUAACUACGGUCCAGCAGCCGCGGUAAUACGGAGGAUCCGAGCGGUAUCCGGGUUUAUUUGGUUUAAAGGGAGCGUAGAUGGGUUGUUAAGUCAGUUGUGAAAGUUUGCGGCUGAACCGUAAAAGUGCAAUUGAUACUGGUAGUAUUGAGUACAGUUGAGGUAGGAGGAAUUAGGGGUGUAGCGGCGAAAUGCUGAGAUAUCACGAAGAAGAACGACUGCGAAGGAAGCUGAAUACACUGCCACUGACAUUGAUGCUCGACAGUGUGGGUAUCAAACAGCAGGAGAUA
rnacentral:rRNA from 1 species